AUUGAACGCUGGCGGCAUGCCUUACACAUGCAAGUCGAACGGUAACAGGUCUUCGGAUGCUGACGAGUGGCGAACGGGUGAGUAAUACAUCGGAACGUGCCUAGUAGUGGGGGAUAACUACUCGAAAGAGUGGCUAAUACCGCAUGAGAUCUACGGAUGAAAGCAGGGGAUCGCAAGACCUUGUGCUACUAGAGCGGCCGAUGGCAGAUUAGGUUGUUGGUGGGAUAAAAGCUUACCAAGCCGACGAUCUGUAGCUGGUCUGAGAGGACGAUCAGCCACACUGGGACUGAGACACGGCCCAGACUCCUACGGGAGGCAGCAGUGGGGAAUUUUGGACAAUGGGCGCAAGCCUGAUCCAGCAACGCCGCGUGCAGGAUGAAGGCCUUCGGGUUGUAAACUGCUUUUGUACGGAACGAAAAGCCCUGGGUUAAUACCCUGGGGUCAUGACGGUACCGUAAGAAUAAGCACCGGCUAACUACGUGCCAGCCGCCGCCGUAA
rnacentral:rRNA from 1 species